AUUUGUUUGCACAUGGAAUAAGAUCAGGACAGAGAAAAGCCUGGAAACAGUGGUACAAUGUGACCCUGCACAUAGUGACAUAGGUAGAGAGACAGACAAGUUAUGUCUGAAGCAGUGGAGCAGAUCCAAACAUUUUUUCAUAUUUUGUAUCCUGCCUUUCAUGUUUUCAGCAGUAGGAGAAAUGUUUUCUUUACAUUUCUGCCUGCAAAAACAAUUAUGGAUGUUAAUUACGUUGACCAAGAGGUGGGACAGGAGCUGGACAGGAAGGGCUUUUCUUUGCUCGUAAACAGGAAGACUCAACCUUUCCCACCAUUCUCCAUGUUCUGGAGAUGGAGGUGUCGUGAGGAUAUCAAGGAGCUGGAAAAUGAGACCUCAGUGGGAAAAGCAGCGUAAUGCAGAAUUGAACAAACAAGCAGCGUGGAACAAAGGAGCCAGCACUCUCUAGGAGCAAACCAUGCUCCUGUCCUGUUGCAGGCAAAGCCAUGGGAAGGGAGCAGACACCCUGCUGUCCCUCUGGGAGUUCUCCAAGAUGUUCCUGCAACCUCCCUUGAGAAGCAAGGAAGCACCCACCUCCCUCUGCCCUCCAUGUGUUGCCGAGAUGGCAGAAAGCUGGAGGACCCUGAGCUGGCAGACAUGGAUUUUCUUCAGCAUUGGGAGCAAAACUGCACGACAGUUCCCACUGCAACGACACAGCCUCUAUGAAGCGGGAAGAUGGAUGGCUCUGGUCAGACUGAGGCAUAACAGAGAUAUGAGACAAGCCUGGGCUUACCCUAAGCCACUUCUGUUUUGUGAUUUCCUUCUUUCACCAAGGUACUUAGGGACCAUGUAGGGUGCAACCCUUGAGAAAAAUAACCUUUUCUGCACCACCCUGUGAAGUCUGCUCCAAAAGAGACAGACGCUAGUGGCCGUGCUGCAGGACAUUGGCAUGCUCAGACCGCAGAGCUCUUGAACAAUCCCUCAAAGCUGGGGGAAGCUUUCUCUGACCAGCAACCACACAAGCUAUUUUGGGUUUGAUAUGCAGCAGAUUUGAUAAGAAAGCUCUCAGGAAAAAACAAAUUUCCUCUUGGACUCAGUAGAACUGGGCACAUGUUCCGGCACACAGAGUUCCCUUUCCUAUAAGCUUAUGAAGUAGCCUUCUAAAAUUAGGAAUAAGAGGAGAAGCCCUGAGCCCAUUGCAAGAAGGGACCAUUACCCCAGGACCAGGACUCACCUGGGGGUCACUGUAGACUCUCAUCGAUGGAGGAUAAAUAUGAGAAGAAAUAGAGUCCUGAUAGCAGUUUUUAUCUCUAACUAUUACUCCGUUUCCGCUGUUGCCCUCGUGUUGUGUCAUUCCACAACCUGUAUUCACCAUUAGUGCUGAUUUAUGGGCAAGCAGUUCAGCGUUCAGCCCAGAGACAAUGAAUCUCUGGAGCCUGGCUGCUCCUUGUGCCAUGUUCCAUAUUCAGCCCUUCGGUUUUCACUGGGAUCAUUUCUUGUAUUCAGCCAUUUCCUUUUCCUUUGGUCUAGACUUUAAAACUGGGACAAGAACACAAGAACUGUGAAUGCAGGGCUAUCAGGUGUUACGCAUGAAGGCAGUGGGGAUGCUGCUGCGUGGCUGCUGCUGUGCCAAGUGCUUUGUGCCACCCCCGAGCCCCAGCGCUGCGGGCAGUCCUCUGCUGCUCCUGCCCCUGUGCACUGCGGGGCAGGGGUCUCGUUAUCAGUCAAGCCUUAAUUUCUAAUCGCGCUUGCUCCAGACUAACAGAAAGGAGGUGUUACAGCAGCUGUGACUCAGACGUGGCUCCCCCUCAUGGUGUGACAAGUGGAGAGGAAGAGGAGCGGGGAGCCAGGAA
ensembl:lncRNA